AAUGGAGGAAACUCUGAUGCAGCGAUGCCGCGUGAGUGAAGAAGGCCCUUGGGUUGUAAAGCUCUUUCGUCGGGGAAGAAAAUGACUGUACCCGAAUAAGAAGGUCCGGCUAACUUCGUGCCAGCAGCCGCGGUAAUACGAAGGGGCCUAGCGUAGUUCGGAAUUACUGGGCUUAAAGAGUUCGUAGGUGGUUGAAAAAGUUAGUGGUGAAAUCCCAGAGCUUAACUCUGGAACUGCCAUUAAAACUUUUCAGCUAGAGUAUGAUAGAGGAAAGCAGAAUUUCUAGUGUAGAGGUGAAAUUCGUAGAUAUUAGAAAGAAUACCAAUUGCGAAGGCAGCUUUCUGGAUCAUUACUGACACUGAGGAACGAAAGCAUGGGUAGCGAAGAGGAUU
rnacentral:rRNA from 1 species